AGAGUUUGAUCCUGGCUCAGGACGAACGCUGGCGGCGUGCUUAACACAUGCAAGUCGAACGGGAGGAAAAGAGAAGCUUGCUUCUUUUUGAAUCUAGUGGCAAACGGGUGAGUAACACGUAAACAACCUGCCUUCAGGAUGGGGACAACAGACGGAAACGACUGCUAAUACCGAAUGUGUUCCGGAGACCGCAUGAUUUCCGGAAGAAAGGAUGGCCUCUAUUUAUAAGCUAUCGCCUGAAGAGGGGUUUGCGUCUGAUUAGGCAGUUGGUGAGGUAACGGCCCACCAAACCUACGAUCAGUAGCCGGUCUGAGAGGAUGAACGGCCACACUGGAACUGAGACACGGUCCAGACUCCUACGGGAGGCAGCAGUGGGGAAUCUUCCGCAAUGGACGAAAGUCUGACGGAGCAACGCCGCGUGAGUGAUGACGGCCUUCGGGUUGUAAAGCUCUGUGAUCGGGGACGAAUGGCUGGUAUGCUAAUACCAUAUCAGAGUGACGGUACCCGAAUAGCAAGCCACGGCUAACUACGUGCCAGCAGCCGCGGUAAUACGUAGGUGGCAAGCGUUGUCCGGAAUUAUUGGGCGUAAAGCGCGCGCAGGCGGCUUCUUAAGUCCAUCUUAAAAGUGCGGGGCUUAACCCCGUGAUGGGAUGGAAACUGGGAGGCUGGAGUAUCGGAGAGGAGAGUGGAAUUCCUAGUGUAGCGGUGAAAUGCGUAGAGAUUAGGAAGAACACCGGUGGCGAAGGCGACUUUCUGGACGACAACUGACGCUGAGGCGCGAAAGCGUGGGGUGCAAACAGGAUUAGAUACCCUGGUAGUCCACGCCGUAAACGAUGAAUACUAGGUGUAGGAGGUAUCGACCCCUUCUGUGCCGGAGCUAACACAAUAAGUAUUCCGCCUGGGAAGUACGAUCGCAAGAUUAAAACUCAAAGGAAUUGACGG
rnacentral:rRNA from 1 species